rnacentral:rRNA from 1 species
GACAGAGGUGCCGAGCGUUAGGCGGAAUCACUGGGCUUAAAGCGUGUGUAGGCGGGUCGUUAAGUGUCUUGUGAAAUCCCACCGCUCACCGGUGGAACGGCUGGGCAUACUGGCGACCUUGAGAGGCCUAGGGGCAGACGGAACAAGCGGUGGAGCGGUGAAAUGCGUAGAGAUCGGGAGGAACACCAGUGGCGAAGGCGGCUACCUGGACCAGCACUGACACUGAGGCACGAAAGCGUGGGGAGCAAACAGG